rnacentral:rRNA from 1 species
UACAGAGGUCUCAAGCGUUGUUCGGAUUCAUUGGGCGUAAAGGGAGCGUAGGUGGCGGGGCAAGUCCGGUGUGAAAGUCACAGGCUCAACCUGUGAAUGCCGCUGGAAACUGUCUGGCUAGAGUCCGGAAGGGGAGAGUGGAAUUCCUGGUGUAGCGGUGAAAUGCGCAGAUAUCAGGAAGAACACCCGUGGCUAAGGCGGCUCUCUAGUACGGUACUGACGCUGAGACGCGAAAGCGUGGGGAGCGAACAGG